GCCGCGUUAGUGUAGCCAGGUCAAUCAUCUGAGGCUAUCGACCUUAGGACCGGGGUUCGAAUCCCCGACGCGGCACCA
rnacentral:tRNA from 1 species